CAACAACACCAUGAAGUCCAAAGAACACACCAGACAGGUCAGGGAUAAAGUUACUGAGAAAUUUAAAGCAGGCUUAGGCUACAAAAAAUGUCCCAAGCCUUGAACAUCCCACAGAGCACUGUACGUUUUGAAAUCUACAAAGGUUUGCACUUUGAGAAUCAACUUAACCAACUGAUUCUGCAGCAGAGCAUCCCCUGUUGCUUCUCCUGGCUCCCCAGUCCCUGAGCUCCUGCUGCUGCACCCACAGGCCCACAGAGGAGGACAGCUCCAAGGCGGACCAGGGACAGGUCCCAGGACAGUCCAUCGGCGGUGGAGCUGGCCAUCCUGGAGUCCCUGAAGAGGCCACGCUAGUCUCCAACGGAGCAUUUCCUCGUCAGCCUUGUUCCUGCUCUGGAGAGCAUGCUGCCUCAGACGAGAGUAUUAGUGAAAUUUCAAAUUUAUAAAUUCGUUUUUGAAAACAGCACAGCUGUGUUAAAUUUGGAAACAUUGGACCCAAAUAAUCAGUAGUUUUCUGAUGAGGCAGCAGACUCUCCAGGGCAGAAACAAUGUUCUUAUUUUUC
ensembl:lncRNA